rnacentral:rRNA from 1 species
CAGAACGUCGUGAGACAGUUCGGUCCCUAUCCGUCGUGGGCGUAGGAAAAUUGAGAAGUGCUGUCCUUAGUACGAGAGGACCGGGAUGGACGCACCUCUGGUGUAUCUGUUGUCAUGCCAGUGGCAGUGCAGAGUAGCUAUGUGCGGAAGGGAUAAACGCUGAAAGCAUCUAAGCGUGAAGCCCCCUCCAAGAUGAGUUUUCCCAUUGCUAUAAGCAAGUAAAAUCCCAGUAAGACUAACUGGUUGAUAGGCUAGAAGUGGAAGUGUAGUGAUACAUUAAGCGGACUAGUACUAAUAGAUUGAGGAUUUAACCUU